GGGGAUGUAGCCCAGUGGUAGAGCGCAUGCUUCACAUGUAUGAGGCCUUGGGUUCAAUCCCCAGCAUCUCCA
rnacentral:tRNA from 1 species